GGGUUGUGAGGUUAAGCGACUAAGCGUACACGGUGGAUGCCCUGGCAGUCAGAGGCGAUGAAGGGCGUGCUAAUCUGCGAUAAGCGCCGGUAAGGUGAUAUGAACCGUUAUAACCGGCGAUACCCGAAUGGGGAAACCCAGUGUGACUCGUCACACUAUCAUUAACUGAAUCCAUAGGUUAAUGAGGCGAACCGGGGGAACUGAAACAUCUAAGUACCCCGAGGAAAAGAAAUCAACCGAGAUUCCCCCAGUAGCGGCGAGCGAACGGGGAGGAGCCCAGAGCCUGAAUCAGCAUGUGUGUUAGUGGAAGCGUCUGGAAAGGCGCGCGAUACAGGGUGACAGCCCCGUACACAAAAGCGCAUGUGCUGUGAGCUCGAUGAGUAGGGCGGGACACGUGGUAUCCUGUCUGAAUAUGGGGGGACCAUCCUCCAAGGCUAAAUACUCCUGACUGACCGAUAGUGAACCAGUACCGUGAGGGAAAGGCGAAAAGAACCCCGGCGAGGGGAGUGAAAAAGAACCUGAAACCGUGUACGUACAAGCAGUGGGAGCCCCACCACCAAAGCAUUUGCUGUACCGCGUUGACGGAGCGAAGCGACGUCAAACCGAUAAAACAGCAGUGUAAAGUGAGCCGCAGGGCGCUUUGCGCGACAGCGCAAAGGCAGGCGGUUUCGCGUAGCGAAAGCGAAUGCUUUGGGGUGGGGUGACUGCGUACCUUUUGUAUAAUGGGUCAGCGACUUAUAUUCUGUAGCAAGGUUAACCGAAUAGGGGAGCCGGAGGGAAACCGAGUCUUAAUUGGGCGUUAAGUUGCAGGGUAUAGACCCGAAACCCGGUGAUCUAGCCAUGGGCAGGUUGAAGGUUGGGUAACACUAACUGGAGGACCGAACCGACUAAUGUUGAAAAAUUAGCGGAUGACCUGUGGCUGGGGGUGAAAGGCCAAUCAAACCGGGAGAUAGCUGGUUCUCCCCGAAAGCUAUUUAGGUAGCGCCUCGUGAAUUCAUCUCCGGGGGUAGAGCACUGUUUCGGCUAGGGGGCCAUCCCGGCUUACCAACCCGAUGCAAACUGCGAAUACCGGAGAAUGUUAUCACGGGAGACACACGGCGGGUGCUAACGUCCGUCGUGAAGAGGGAAACAACCCAGACCGCCAGCUAAGGUCCCAAAGUCAUGGUUAAGUGGGAAACGAUGUGGGAAGGCCCAGACAGCCAGGAUGUUGGCUUAGAAGCAGCCAUCAUUUAAAGAAAGCGUAAUAGCUCACUGGUCGAGUCGGCCUGCGCGGAAGAUGUAACGGGGCUAAACCAUGCACCGAAGCUGCGGCAGCGACACUGUGUGUUGUUGGGUAGGGGAGCGUUCUGUAAGCCUGUGAAGGUGUGUCGUGAGGCAUGCUGGAGGUAUCAGAAGUGCGAAUGCUGACAUAAGUAACGAUAAAGCGGGUGAAAAGCCCGCUCGCCGGAAGACCAAGGGUUCCUGUCCAACGUUAAUCGGGGCAGGGUGAGUCGACCCCUAAGGCGAGGCCGAAAGGCGUAGUCGAUGGGAAACGGGUUAAUAUUCCCGUACUUGGUGUUACUGCGAAGGGGGGACGGAGAAGGCUAUGUUGGCCGGGCGACGGUUGUCCCGGUUUAAGCGUGUAGGUGUGUGUUCCAGGUAAAUCCGGUUCACUUUAACACUGAGGCGUGACGACGAGGCACUACGGUGCUGAAGCAACAAAUGCCCUGCUUCCAGGAAAAGCCUCUAAGCAUCAGGUAACAUCAAAUCGUACCCCAAACCGACACAGGUGGUCAGGUAGAGAAUACCAAGGCGCUUGAGAGAACUCGGGUGAAGGAACUAGGCAAAAUGGUGCCGUAACUUCGGGAGAAGGCACGCUGACACGUAGGUGAAGUGAUUUACUCAUGGAGCUGAAGUCAGUCGAAGAUACCAGCUGGCUGCAACUGUUUAUUAAAAACACAGCACUGUGCAAACACGAAAGUGGACGUAUACGGUGUGACGCCUGCCCGGUGCCGGAAGGUUAAUUGAUGGGGUCAGCGCAAGCGAAGCUCCUGAUCGAAGCCCCGGUAAACGGCGGCCGUAACUAUAACGGUCCUAAGGUAGCGAAAUUCCUUGUCGGGUAAGUUCCGACCUGCACGAAUGGCGUAAUGAUGGCCAGGCUGUCUCCACCCGAGACUCAGUGAAAUUGAACUCGCUGUGAAGAUGCAGUGUACCCGCGGCAAGACGGAAAGACCCCGUGAACCUUUACUAUAGCUUGACACUGAACAUUGAGCCUUGAUGUGUAGGAUAGGUGGGAGGCUUUGAAGUGUGGACGCCAGUCUGCAUGGAGCCGACCUUGAAAUACCACCCUUUAAUGUUUGAUGUUCUAACGUGGACCCGUUACCCGGGUUGCGGACAGUGUCUGGUGGGUAGUUUGACUGGGGCGGUCUCCUCCUAAAGAGUAACGGAGGAGCACGAAGGUUGGCUAAUCCUGGUCGGACAUCAGGAGGUUAGUGCAAUGGCAUAAGCCAGCUUGACUGCGAGCGUGACGGCGCGAGCAGGUGCGAAAGCAGGUCAUAGUGAUCCGGUGGUUCUGAAUGGAAGGGCCAUCGCUCAACGGAUAAAAGGUACUCCGGGGAUAACAGGCUGAUACCGCCCAAGAGUUCAUAUCGACGGCGGUGUUUGGCACCUCGAUGUCGGCUCAUCACAUCCUGGGGCUGAAGUAGGUCCCAAGGGUAUGGCUGUUCGCCAUUUAAAGUGGUACGCGAGCUGGGUUUAGAACGUCGUGAGACAGUUCGGUCCCUAUCUGCCGUGGGCGCUGGAGAACUGAGGGGGGCUGCUCCUAGUACGAGAGGACCGGAGUGGACGCAUCACUGGUGUUCGGGUUGUCAUGCCAAUGGCACUGCCCGGUAGCUAAAUGCGGAAGAGAUAAGUGCUGAAAGCAUCUAAGCACGAAACUUGCCCCGAGAUGAGUUCUCCCUGAGACUUA
rnacentral:rRNA from 1 species